rnacentral:rRNA from 1 species
AACGAACGCUGGCGGCAUGCCUAAUACAUGCAAGUCGAACGAUCACUUCGGUGGUAGUGGCGCACGGGUGCGUAACGCGUGGGAAUCUGCCCUUGGGUUCGGAAUAACAUCGGGAAACUGACGCUAAUACCGGAUGAUGACGUAAGUCCAAAGAUUUAUCGCCCAGGGAUGAGCCCGCGUAGGAUUAGCUAGUUGGUGGGGUAAAGGCCUACCAAGGCGACGAUCCUUAGCUGGUCUGAGAGGAUGAUCAGCCACACUGGGACUGAGACACGGCCCAGACUCCUACGGGAGGCAGCAGUAGGGAAUAUUGGACAAUGGGGGCAACCCUGAUCCAGCAAUGCCGCGUGAGUGAUGAAGGCCUUAGGGUUGUAAAGCUCUUUUACCCGGGAUGAUAAUGACAGUACCGGGAGAAUAAGCCCCGGCUAACUCCGUGCCAGCAGCCGCUGUAA